rnacentral:miRNA from 1 species
CAACACGGCUAAAAAGGACG